rnacentral:rRNA from 1 species
UAACACGUAUCCAACCUGCCGUCUACUCUUGGACAGCCUUCUGAAAGGAAGAUUAAUACAAGAUGGCAUCAUGGGUUCACAUGUUCACAUGAUUAAAGGUAUUCCGGUAGACGAUGGGGAUGCGUUCCAUUAGAUAGUAGGCGGGGUAACGGCCCACCUAGUCUUCGAUGGAUAGGGGUUCUGAGAGGAAGGUCCCCCACAUUGGAACUGAGACACGGUCCAAACUCCUACGGGAGGCAGCAGUGAGGAAUAUUGGUCAAUGGGCGAGGGCCUGAACCAGCCAAGUAGCGUGAAGGAUGACUGCCCUAUGGGUUGUAAACUUCUUUUAUAAAGGGAUAAAGUCGGGUAUGCAUACCCGUUUGCAUGUACUUUAUGAAUAAGGAUCGGCUAACUCCGUGCCAGCAGCCGCGGUAAUACGGAGGAUCCGAGCGUUAUCCGGAUUUAUUGGGUUUAAAGGGAGCGUAGAUGGAUGUUUAAGUCAGUUGUGAAAGUUUGCGGCUCAACCGUAAAAUUGCAGUUGAUACUGGAUAUCUUGAGUGCAGUUGAGGCAGGCGGAAUUCGUGGUGUAGCGGUGAAAUGCUUAGAUAUCACGAAGAACUCCGAUUGCGAAGGCAGCCUGCUAAGCUGCAACUGACAUUGAGGCUCGAAAGUGUGGGUAUCAAACAGGAUUAGAUACCCUGGUAGUCCACACGGUAAACGAUGAAUACUCGCUGU